rnacentral:tRNA from 1 species
GCGGGAUUAGCUCAGUCUGGUAGAGUGCCUGAAUACGACGACCGCGCCAACGGUCCCUUCAUCGAGGCGCGUGUCGGACGGCAGGAGGCCGGGGGUUCGAAUCCCCUGUCCCGCU